rnacentral:lncRNA from 1 species
CUGAUGCCAUUUAAAUUUCUACCCACGGAUCUCAAAUGGGUCCUUAGCUGUCUUAUCACAUUUUUCGGAUGAUUUCCUGCUGUCUCAGAGGACAAAUUUAUAUCUUCUCUCUCCUCCUUCUCUGACUCACUUUGAAAGAGAAGUAGUCAUUUCAUCCCAGAUUCUAUGUCACUUCCUCCACUUCUACCUCACUGUCUCUUUACCAAAUCUGCCGAUGCAGCUGCCUCCUCUUCUGUUAUAAUGGAUGGCUUUCUCCUUGCCCCCAAGCAAAGCCAACAUUAAUACAUUUCUCCUACCCCAUUGUGCUUAUUCACGGAAAGACGUGGAUUUUCACUCUUGACAACUUUUCUACUCCCAUCAACAUACAAACAUAAAAAACUUGCUCUCAUAUUUAAAAAUAAAUACCAUUUUAAGCCACAUAACCCCUUCCAAAUACUAUCCCAUUUCCCUGUGUUGUUUUAUGAUAAAGAUCCUUAAAAAUGUUGUCUCUACCUGCUAUCUCUACCCAACUCGCCACUUCUUUGUUUCUCAGUCCCCUCCAGACAAGUUUUGGCCUUUCCCGCUCUACUAAAACCAUUUUUGAUCAGGUUAACAAAUGAGGGUUUGGUUGGUUUUUUUAAAAGAGAAUGGGAAAAAGUGUGACAUGGAAACUUUGUUUUUAAAUGGAGUCUGUCCAAAGGUCUCCUGAAACAAUCCUUUCUUUUCCUUUUCCUAUCAUUGUGAAGAGAGAGUCAACAUAUUACAAAAUUAAUAUUUUACUUGACCUUCUCAAGGCAAAGUAAAUAUGGGUGGCUGGUGCUCAUUCGUUUUACGCCUUCAGUUUGGUGAUAACAAUCCAGAGAGGACGAUAGUGUACAAUGUAAAAAUUACUAAAAUUUAAAAUUUCCUAUCACAUUGACAAUUUUUAGGCAGGGAUUUCUGAAUUUCAAUUUUAUUAGUAAUUUAUCCAGAUUAAGAGAUUCUAUCUGCUGAGAGAUGUUUCUUCCAUCAGAAAAUGAUUAGCAUAUACAGUCUUCAGACUUAGUAUUAUGAUUUCUUAGUCUUUUCAUUUUUCUCUAAAUCCUAUGACUAUGAUCUUAACAUUUGAUGGUUAUUAGUGUAUAAUUUACUGUGUCAGUUGUUUUGACAUGGUUUUUUUUGUUAGGCAGCUAGGCUCAGUGAAACAACUAGAUUUGGGCAGCUUGAUUGUUUUCACUGGUUGAUAUGGUAGAAUAUGGCCUUUAUCCAAACUUUAAAUAACUGUACUAUGAAAAGGCUUUAGGAAUUAGCAGUACUGAGGCAAUAUCCUGAAGCGACGUGUAUAUUUAUAUUAAUAACUUAUUUCCCUAUUGAUUUGACAUUUUUUCUUUAUUCUUCGUAUUGAUGGUUGCCCACUAAUUUUUAAUCUUAGUUUUAAGAAGGCUCCAUUUGUAAAUGUAUAACAGACAUAUAUACAUUUUUAUUUAAAAUAUCAAAGACUAUGAUAUUUCAACAACACUUUUAUAUCACCAUUCAUAGUUUCUUUUUUGUUUUUAGGAUUAUUUCGUUUUUAGUUUAAACAUCUGUAGUUGCCAACUUAAGUUUUGACAAAAAACCUGGGCAUAGAACUCAUUUAAUUUU